rnacentral:misc_RNA from 1 species
GUCGAACCUCAACCGGUCCAUUGUCAAGUCCACUCACUCUCUUUUAACUAAGUUUGGCUGGGCAUCGAUUGAAUAAGUUUUUAGCUAGCUUAAGAAGAUUUGUUAGGGUGGAUUAAUCCAGUAUUAGGAGUAGUGUUUGAAGUUGGUGCAGUGGUAGAAGUCCUUCAUCGUCAAGAAUGUCGUAGCUGCUGCCAUUGUGUUGAAGCUGAGCUAGGGUUACGGAGUCAGUAAUGGCCGAUUUUCAGACCUCGACUCACAAAGCCAAAUGGAUCUUCACCUCUCAACAGCUGGUUGAGAAGCACAAAGUUACUAAUCAAAGAGCCAAGCAAAUGCUGGAGAAGUAUGGAACAACAAGAAUGGAAGUAGAUGUUGAUGGAUCACUGUCAUACCCUGAACCUCAAGUUAACGCAGCAGACAAUGCUGAUAAGCAUUCUCGUCCAAAAUCGCUCAGUGUUGAAGAAGAACAAUUUAUGCGAGUAUACUAUGAAUAUAAACUUCGAGAAGUGUGCAGUGCCUUUUACUUUCCUCAUAAAAUUCAGGCAACAGCACUCAUAUACUUCAAGAGGUUUUAUCUUCAAUGGUCGGUCAUGGAACAUGAUCCAAAACAUGUAAUGUUAACCUGUAUAUAUGCAGCUUGUAAGAUCGAAGAAAAUCAUGUAUCAGCAGAGGAGCUUGGUAAGGGGAUUUCACAGGAUCAUCAAAUGAUUCUCAAUUAUGAGAUGAUAGUGCUCCAGAGCUUGGAAUUUGAUCUUAUUGUAUAUGCUCCAUAUCGUUCAGUUGAAGGUUUUAUCAAUGAUAUGGAGGAAUUCUGUCAUGCAGCGGAUGACCAAAUUCAAAUGCUGAAGGUAAUUUCCCUUGUAUUCUUAUGAUUAGAUUUCAUGUUUGAGUACUAUUUUCGUUUGAUCAUUUUAGUUCAUUUACCCUUAAAAUUGAAUAUUGAAAAAAGUUCCCUAAAUGUUUGAACACAUUGAUAGAAAUGAAUUUCUAUAAAUGGUUGUCAAUGAUGCUUCUCUUGUUUAUUGGAAUGUGCAACAGUUCUAUCUAUUCUUAUGGGCUUAAAUCAUAGUUAGUAGAUUCACUCACCUCCCUGGGUGCCACUAUCUGGGUUGCACAUUCCAACUCACGGCACAUUUGCGUCCCAAACCGCCACGGAUGCAAUUUGGAAAUAGGGGUUCAGAAGAAUAAGAAGAACUUGUUUUUUGGAAAUACAAACACUACUAAUUACUAAUUAUAUUUUUUGGAUAAUUUAAAAUAGUAAUAAUAAAAGGACUUUAAAAAUUAGAAAAACAAAAAAUGAAUUGUGCCUUAUAAAUAUAAUUCACGUACAGAACAAAUAUGAUUUGCCUACCGCAAGCCAAAUUGGUGUAUUAACAAAGCCUACCCCAGUGUAUCCUAUAUUUAGUUAAGUGGCGUACCAUGCACCAAAUACCCAUACCACGAUCCGAGGGUACUGCAUUCCUGGUAACUAUGUCUAGCUUUUCCUUUCUGCCAUUGAUUGUUGGAUUUGAUCUGAAUCAAUAUUUUAUAGGAUUUGCAAGCAACUGCAACAGCGGAGGUUGACAAAAUCAUGUUUACUGAUGCACCACUGCUUUUUCCUCCUGGGCAGGUAUUCUUUAUAGAAACUUGUUAUUGAUAUUGAAUAUAAUGAUCUCUUUCCAUCUUGGGCAAGUGAAAUUUCUAUUAAAAGCAAAGAAGAUAAAGCAUAGAAAUAAGCAACCAGGAUCAAAAGCUUAAGCCAGAAGCACCAUUCUUGAUCCAACAUAACCAGUGGAGUCAUUCUGAACAUAAGCAGUGGUGAAUUGCUUAAUUAUAAUGGAAGAUCUUUUUGCAAGUAGCAAAUAACUUCAAUGAGUGAAGCUUCAUAUUUUGAGAAAGCUUCCUAUGUAAUAUUUAGUUCAUCUUUUAAUUGCUUUCUAUGUUACACUCACUGUUCCACAUUUUUUUUCCGGGGCAUUGCCCCAAAUUUAUUUGAGGAAAGAUUGUGUCACACCAUAUACAGAAUUGAAUGGUUGAUUACAUGUAGCUUGACUUAAGCUAUUUUGUCCUGCCAUGUAAUAGCAUCGUCACGUUUAGCAUUACUUUUUAUUCAAUUUGGUGCAGUCAGCUUUGGCUGCUUUAGAAAGAAUAUCACUCUGUGGUAAUUGACUGGUUGAUUUGUUGUGGCUUGGCUUAAGAUGGUUUGUCCUUUCAUGCAAUGGCUUCAUCUUAUUUGACUUGACUGAUUCAUCAAUUUGAUGCAGUUGGCAUUGGCUGCUUUGCGAAUUGCAAAUGAGAUGCACCAGGUUCUUGAUUUUGAGAGGUUAGGACAGUGAUGGUUAUUUUUCUGCUACAUUGCUCCCUCCUAUUCUCCCCCACACCAUGUGUGUUUUAGCAACAUUUGCAUUGCAGUUAUGGACUUAUUGGUUAGAUUGGGAUUUAUUUGAAGCUCAACUCUUGUUUUUGGCCAAAAAAUUGACAGGGAAUGGAAAUUUAUUUAGCACUUGCUUACUUCUUUGCAGAUACCUCAGGAACAUUCUUUCUCGUCAGAAUUCUGUGCACACGAUUUCAGAUCUCAUUGAAUCUCUAGAUGCCAUAGAUUCUUGGGUAAAGAAGUACAAGUUCCCUACAGAAAAGGACAUGAAGCACAUAAACCGGAAGCUGAAGUCUUGCUGGGGUCAUGGCUCCCAUGACGAGUACUUUUCCAUAUACUUGCUUAUAUCGGUAGUUUAGUGCCUGCCUCUGUUAUUUUUUUACAUUGUCGAUUUAUUGCUUGGCAACAGUAAGAAACGGGAGAAGAAAUCAAAAAACAAGUCCCAUAAGAGUUCAAAUGAAAUGCAAAAUGGCCCAUCCCUUGCAUAAUUGUAAGUUCUGCCUUGUAUGUUGGAGUUUUCUCUUUUCUUAAAAUGAACCGAGUUGUUUUAGCACCAAAGGCUUUGUUUGGCUGCCAUAUUGUUGCUAGAUAGCUGUAUGAGGAAACUUCAUUCACUCCCUUAGGCAAUCCUCUUGUAAAAUAAUUUCUUACAGAAGUACAGGAGGGUUCUUUAUGUCACAAUUUGCAUAUCUUGACUGGUGGUUGGACCAUCUUAGAGGGGGUUGAACUUUUGGUUUUAUUGACUUUGAUUGUUAUGUGAUUUCAGAUACAUGGACGGACCUUCAGUCUUUUGCUGGUAAAUUUGCAUCUGGGUUGGGAGAGGAAUUAUGCCAGUGAAAAUGAAAUUUUGAUGUAUUAGAUGGCCUUGAAUACAAAGCCAUGAUUUUCAAUGGAUCUUCUAAAAAGCAAGGAAAAUCUGUGUUUUUUACUUCCAAGAAAUACAAGAUGCAUGAUCCCAGAAUUCUUAGCUUGCAGUUCUGUAAAAUUGUAGAGAUUGAAGUUCAUUUCAAGUUAAAAGGACAAUUUUGCACUAGGAAUGAUCUGAGUAAAAUUUUCUCUGUUGUCAUCUGCAUUCUACUGCCUGUGAAGAAAAAGGUAGCAAUGUUUUCUUCAAGUCUUUUACUGGAUUAAGUCCAUUAUGAGAAAAAUGGACAAAAAGCAUGUUUAACACUAGUUCUCCGUGUGUGUGUAGCAUAUAUAUAUAUACAUAUCUCCUUCUCUGUAUGGCU